rnacentral:lncRNA from 1 species
CACUUUCGAGGUCGAGAAUGUAUCUUCUUCCAGAAUCAUAAACUGAGUAAAUAUAGGUAAAGGAAGCCUUGACCUGAAUAAAAAAAGAUUCAGUUUUUUUUUGUAACUAGAUGCUUCCAACGUCCAUUUACAAUCCUCAUUGCAACAUCGGAGGACAUAGCUGAAAUAGACAAUCAUAAUGUGAUUAGUAGUAAUAACAAUUUAUAAAUUUUUUUCAUUUUGGGUGUUACAAAUCAAUUAUACAGAGAGAAAAAUUCAUAUACAACAUAAGAUAUAAAAUAUACAUUACAACUCAAUAAAGUAUAUAUGUUUCUUCCUGUUAAUCAAUUUGUGAAUACAAAUAACACAAUACCAAAAUGUUAUUCUACACAUAUACAAAACACAGUGAAUGUACAUGUGAAUAAUAGACAACAUUGCUAUAUAUAUAACAUAAACUUGUUCCCCUGCAAUUUAUAAAUUUAGGACAUCAAUUAAUCCAAUUUGAAAAAAAACAGACAAUUUUAUGUGCUCAACUUGAAAACAUUCUCCGCAAAAUGAAAUUUAAUGUCAUACUAAUAUUCACGCAAAUUUAAGUAAACAAAUUUCGUAACAGAACUAAAAAUAAUACCUUUUUUUAUCUGAAAAAAUUAUUUUUGUUAAAAACAAUACCUCUCUUUGUCUGAAAAAAUUGACGAAACCAAUCUAAAAAAAAGUCAUUGACCCCGCGACAACAAUCCCUUCACUUUUGUAUUUAACAUAAUCUGUUUCCGUUCUCCAUUCACAAAAGUGACAACAAUCUGUUUCCGUCGAAAACAUAAUGUACAUCAAUAGUUUUUCGAGCUUCGUCAAUGUUUAAUUUGACAACAAUUGACGAAAUCAACCUCGAAUACGUUGUUGAUUCCACGACAAUGAUUCCUUCAUUUUUAUACUUAACAUAUUCUAUUUUGGUUCGCCAUUCACCAGAGUACCUCAAAAGAAU